AUUGAACGCUGGCGGCAGGCCUAACACAUGCAAGUCGAGCGGUAGCACAGGGAGCUUGCUCCUGGGUGACGAGCGGCGGACGGGUGAGUAAUGUCUGGGAAACUGCCUGAUGGAGGGGGAUAACUACUGGAAACGGUAGCUAAUACCGCAUAACGUCGCAAGACCAAAGAGGGGGACCUUCGGGCCUCUUGCCAUCAGAUGUGCCCAGAUGUGAUUAGCUAGUAGGUGGGGUAACGGCUCACCUAGGCGACGAUCCCUAGCUGGUCUGAGAGGAUGACCAGCCACACUGGAACUGAGACACGGUCCAGACUCCUACGGGAGGCAGCAGUGGGGAAUAUUGCACAAUGGGCGCAAGCCUGAUGCAGCCAUGCCGCGUGUAUGAAGAAGGCCUUCGGGUUGUAAAGUACUUUCAGCGGGGAGGAAGGCGAUAAGGUUAAUAACCUUGUCGAUUGACGUUACCCGCAGAAGAAGCACCGGCUAACUCCGUGCCAGCCGCCGCGGUAA
rnacentral:rRNA from 1 species